rnacentral:rRNA from 1 species
AAGAUCCCUGAAAGAUGAUCAGGUUGAUAGGUCAGAGGUGGAAGCGUGGUGACAUGUGGAGCUGACUGAUACUAAUCGAUCGAGGACUUAACCAA